rnacentral:tRNA from 1 species
GGCCCUGUAGUUCAAUGGAUAGAAUAGGAGUUUCCUAAACUCUAGAUUCAGGUUCGAUUCCUGACAGGGCCACCA